UACGUAGGGUGCGAGCGUUGUCCGGAAUUAUUGGGCGUAAAGAGCUCGUAGGCGGUCUGUCGCGUCGGUCGUGAAAACUUGGGGCUUAACCCUGAGCUUGCGGUCGAUACGGGCAUGACUGGAGUUCGGCAGGGGAGACUGGAAUUCCUGGUGUAGCGGUGAAAUGCGCAGAUAUCAGGAGGAACACCGGUGGCGAAGGCGGCUUCCUGGACCGACACUGACGCUGAGGCGCGAAAGCUAGGGGAGCAAACGGG
rnacentral:rRNA from 1 species